GUCUGCGGCCACGCUGCCCUGAACAAACCUGAUCCCGUAUGAUCUCGGAAGCUAAGCAGGUUUGGGCCUAGUUAGUACUUUGAUGGGAGACCACCUACAAAGUCCAGGUGCUGUAGGUA
rnacentral:rRNA from 1 species